UGCAAGUCGAACGCGAAAGUGGAGCAAUCCAUGAGUAGAGUGGCAAACGGGUGAGUAACACGUGGGUGACCUGCCUUCGAGCGGGGGAUAACGUCCCGAAAGGGACGCUAAUACCGCAUGACAUCCUGCUUUUGAAGAGGUGGAGAUCAAAGCCGGGGAUCGCAAGACCUGGCACUCGAAGAGGGGCCCGCGCCUGAUUAGCUAGUUGGUGAGGUAACGGCUCACCAAGGCAACGAUCAGUAUCCGGCCUGAGAGGGCGGACGGACACACUGGGACUGAGACACGGCCCAGACUCCUACGGGAGGCAGCAGUGGGGAAUUGUUCGCAAUGGGCGCAAGCCUGACGACGCAACGCCGCGUGGAGGAUGAAGACCUUCGGGUCGUAAACUCCUUUCGAUCGAGACGAACGGCUUCCGGGUGAACAAUCCGGGAGAGUGACGGUACCGAGAGAAGAAGCCCCGGCUAACUCCGUGCCAGCAGCCGCGGUAAUACGGGGGGGGCAAGCGUUGUUCGGAAUUACUGGGCGUAAAGGGCUCGUAGGUGGCCAACUAAGUCAGACGUGAAAUCCCUCGGCUUAACCGGGGAACUGCGUCUGAUACUGGAUGGCUUGAGAUUGGGAGAGGGAUGCGGA
rnacentral:rRNA from 1 species